UAAAGCGUAAAAGAGCGUAGAGUGAAUGCCUUGGCAUUGGGAGCCGACGAAGGACGUGGUUAACUGCGAAAAGCUACGGGGAGUCGUAAGCAGACAUUGAUCCGUAGAUGUCCGAAUGGAGCAAUCCGCAUGGAGUUAGUCCAUGCAUCCAUAAGUGAAUUCAUAGCUUAUGGAGGGGAACCGCCUGAACUGAAACAUCUAAGUAGGGCGAGGAAGAGAAAUCAAACGAGAUUUCGUAAGUAGUGGCGAGCGAACGCGAAAGAGGCUAAACCAAGAGAAGAAAUUCUUUUGGGGUUACGGACUGCAACGUGUAUCUGAGGACUUAGCAGAAUGGUAUGGGAAAGCCAACCAGAGAAUGUGAUAGUCAUGUAUGCGAAAAGGAAUCAGAGCUAGUAGGAUCCAAAGUACCGCGGGACACGAGGAAUCCCGUGGGAAGUCGGGGGGACCACCCUCCAAGCCUAAAUACUACCCAAUGACCGAUAGCGAAAAGUACUGUGAAGGAACGGUGAAAAGAACCCCGGGAGGGGAGUGAAAAGAACCUGAAACUCUAUGCUUACAAGCACAUAGAGCACGUCAAAGUGUGAUAUGGUACCUUUUGUAGAAUGGUCCGGCGAGUUAUUGUAUGCAGCAAGGUUAAGGUCUUCAGGACUGAAGCCGAAGCGAGAGCGAGUCUGACAAGGGCGGUAAGUUGCAUGCAAUAGACCCGAAACCGGGUGACCUAGCCAUGUUCAGGUUGAAGUGGAGGUAAAGCUCCAUGGAGGACCGAACCGACCUCCGUUGAAAAGGCGGCGGAUGAAAUGUGGCUAGCGGAGAAAUUCCAAUCGAACCCGGAAAUAGCUGGUUCUCCCCGAAAUAGCUUUAGGGCUAGCGUUGUAUUAGAUUUCUGGGGGUAAAGCACUGAAUAGGCUAGGGGCCGAGAGGUUACUGAACCUUAUCAAACUAAGAAUACCAGAAAAUUGAUGUACAGCAGUCAGACUAUGUGAGAUAAGUCUCAUAGUCAAAAGGGAAACAGCCCAGACCCACAGCUAAGGUCCCAAAACAGAUUUAAGUGGAAAAGGAUGUGGGAUUGCCCAGACAACCAGGAUGUUGGCUUAGAAGCAGCCACACAUUAAAAGAGUGCGUAAUAGCUCACUGGUCGAGUGAUCCUGCGCCGAAAAUUCAACGGGGCUAAAAUUUGUACCGAAGCUUGGGCUUGAUACAUUCGUAUCAGGGGUAGGGGAGCGUCAUGUAUGAGGUGAAGUCGUAGCGAAAGCGGCGGUGGAUUGUACAUGAGAGAGAAUGCCGGAAUGAGUAGCGAGAAUUAUGUGAGAAUCAUAAUGGCCGAAAAUCUAAGGUUUCCUGAGGAAGGUUCGUCCGCUCAGGGUAAGCCGGGAGCUAAGGUGAGGCGGAAACGCGUAGCCGAUGCACAUACGGUAGAGAUUCCGUAGCCUCCGAAAAGUAAAGCACAGGGACGCUUCAGAAGUGUUACGCCGGGCGAUGGUUGCCCCGGUUGUAAAGGACACAAUUGAGUGGAAGGUAACAUGGAUGGAGACAAGAAAAGCUGUGUGUAUCUGGAAGGAGCCCGUACCGCAAACCGACACAGGUAGAUAGGAAGAAGAUUCUAAGGCCAGCGGGAGAAGGGUUGUUAAGGAACUCGGCAAGUUGACCCCGUAACUUCGGGAGAAGGGGUGCUUACGAAGGUAAGCCGCAGAGAAUAGGCCCAAGCGACUGUUUAGCAAAAACACAGCUCUAUGCUAAAUCGAAAGAUGACGUAUAUGGGGUGACACCUGCCCGGUGCUGGAAGGUUAAGAGGAGAUGUGAGAGCAUUGAAUUGAAGCCCCAGUAAACGGCGGCCGUAACUAUAACGGUCCUAAGGUAGCGAAAUUCCUUGUCAGGUAAGUUCUGACCCGCACGAAUGG
rnacentral:rRNA from 1 species